UGAGUCUGGCAACACUCAUAACGGUUGUUCUGAUCGUCAACAUAUUGACAAAAGCUGUUGCAAAAGCAAAAAUGGAUGGAAACAUGGGGUAUAAUGAGGAAGAUGAUGAAACAGUGAAGCUGGAAAAUGCCCAG